CUAAAUUCCAAUUCCAGAUACAAGCAAAUUAAUAGUGUCAAACAGCAUUCCAAGAGUGAUGAUAAACAAAAGCAAAGAGACGAGUAUUGCAAUAUUCUGGCUGGUACCAACGAAAAUUCAAUUACUCACAAUCUUCAUUUCAUUGGUAGAAUCAGUAGAAGAUUUAUGGUCUAAUCCAUUCAAUCAACCCCAAAAGAUAGAAAUGACAAUGGAUGUAGGAUGGAUUCUGAUAUAUCCACACCCACCCAUCUUAUUUCAAGUUGGGGUGAG
rnacentral:misc_RNA from 1 species